GGAGCAAUAUGGCUUAAAAAUUGUCUAGAUAUGUUGCUGGAAUCUCAGUGAUAAAGCUUGUGGAUGUUCUUGAAUUGAGUUACACGUCAGAAGAUAAGCAUCAUCCUUGUGUAUAGAUAUGUGUAGUUACUAGGAUGGAGGUAAUUGAUGAUGUCUGUUGGAUGAUUAUUGCUGAUAUUGUAUUAUUCUCACCUGGAGGCAACUUGAAGAUUAUUGAAAGGUGAUAUCCUUAAGUCAUGUUUAGUAGCAGUAGUUUGUGUCGAGCCAGAUAUCUUGAAGGAACAACAUCGGCUAAGG